rnacentral:rRNA from 1 species
GAUGAACGCUAGCGGCGGGCUUAAUACAUGCAAGUCGAGCGGGGUUUUCGGACCUAGCGGCGGACGGGUGAGUAAUGCGUAGGAAGCUACCCGAUAGAGGGGGAUACCAGUUGGAAACGACUGUUAAUACCGCAUAAUGUCUACGGACCAAAGUGUGGGACCUUCGGGCCACAUGCUAUCGGAUGCGCCUACGUGGGAUUAGCUAGUUGGUGGGGUAAUGGCUCACCAAGGCGACGAUCCCUAGCUGGUUUGAGAGGAUGAUCAGCCACACUGGAACUGAGACACGGUCCAGACUCCUACGGGAGGCAGCAGUGGGAAAUAUUGGACAAUGGGCGCAAGCCUGAUCCAGCCAUGCCGCGUGUGAAGAAGGCCUUCGGGUUGUAAAGCACUUUCAGUAGGGAGGAGGCUACUGAGACUAAUACUCUUGGAUAGUGGACGUUACUCGCAGAAUAAGCACCGGCUAACUCUGUGCCAGCCGCCGCCGUAACAC